UUAUUUUGCAUGGUUCUGAUUUUUAACGUCUGCCGAAUCGGAGGAAAACGUGAUCGACGUCCUGUCGCUUGACUCCGCGGUCGCUGUCGGUCAUCGAUGGGUCCCUCAUGGCUGCAAUUCGAGAUCGUACUGUAUGCUAAACGAGGGGGGGGGGGAUUCGGCGGCGGCGGGGGAGGCAUUCAAGAACGUGCAACACACAAGUGGAUGAGAAAUCGAAAUGGCCAAGGGCCAUUAUGUUCUUCAUCAAACACUUUAAAGCUUAGAAACAUAGGGCAGUGACCGUAAUCUGCAAACGGCCAUCCUGUUCCCAUAAUAUAUCCAACACACAAAACGAGUAUGGUCGUGACAUUUGGAACAGCACGGAACGAACCGCUUGAAACGACGGUCUAGUGCCCUCGUAACGACUUUGAACGGAAAGAAAAAGUGAUAUUGCUCGACGGCGUUGGAGAUUUCGGCGAUGCCGUAAAGGGCGGCGCAGAUCCGACGGAGCCUAGGGGGAAGUGCGUCUGACACGUCCGGGUUGCAGUGCGGUGGAGGAAUGCUGCCGGCCUCGGCGAAAGACGGCGCUCCGACUACCACCAACACGACGAAGCAGGCACCCGCUCAUUUCCUGUCCCAUUGAAUCUUUGAAUGCAAUUUGUUGGAACAAGUGGCGCCGGAUUAAUGGAGGUGCAGUGUGCGCCUUCUCACUUUAGACUGAACCUAAUGGUUAGACGGCAUGGAAGCUGAAAAUGCCAUCAUUUAUCACCCUUUCAUCAGACCCCUCUAAUUAAGGAAACUAAUAAUUGAGACCAUGCGUAGGCCAAUCAACGUCAUUCUUAUCAUUGGAACCUAACAAAUUUUCUGCGAACACUUUCGCUAUCUUUGACAUUUCCACUCUAUAGUUCAUUUGUCCCCAGAUCAAUCUGACAAACAACUUUCAGCCCGACUGCGCAUCAACAGGUGAACCGUGAUCUCUCAAACAAAGAACGGGAUAAAAAUUUUGAUUGCCGUCCGAUAUUCCAGCUUGUUACCAUCCGUCAAAGUUGCAAGCAGUCAUGGCUUAUCCCAUGACGUUCGUUCAAGACGAAAUCUUGUUCCCGAAAAAUGCCUAAUACUUGAACUCUGAAAACGAGUUCUCCGUGCCACUAGGCCAAUCGGCUGCAACUCGUAAGUUGGCUUAGAAACCAAUUUACAGCAACUUAACGGCACACAAAAGUGAGAAAGCACCGGAUAGAUAUGUCAUGGGCGAUCCUCGUUUCAAAAUUAUUCAUCGUGGGAAGAUGACGAGGACAAGCUGUACUAGAAAAGGAUUCUGCCGGGCCGUAAAUGUUCACUAAUGGAUACACUAUAGUUGACGAUAGCGAGACCACUCCCGCUUCCGUUUGCCGCGCCCCGUUUAAAACAGAUUAAUUUUGACAGUUGCGCUCGACAGGAAAUUUGAAUAAUCUACACGC